UAGAAUGGGAGGUGCUUGGUGUGUCUCUGCCUUCUGCUCUGGGUCUCAGUCACCGAUUCUGAGACAAGAGAAUCACUAUCAUCAACACCCCACGGUGUGCGAGAUGAGGGGUCCGUAUCAUCCACUCUAAUCAUACCUCAAAGAGUUAAGCGCCGGGAACCUUACUCCAUGACCUGUGGUGAUCUAAAUGGGAAGGACAUCUAAAGAAGAGUGGAUACAUGUAUGUGUAAACACGACUCACGUUGCUGUAUGCCUGAGACUAACACAACAUUGUAAAGGAACUACACUCCAACAAAAGUUAAUUAAAAGGAAGAAGAUCUUAGUUCCUCAGCAAGGGAUCAUCGAACUUGUGCCCCUGCAGUGGUAGCAUGGAGUCUUAACCACUGGACCACCAAGGAUGUUCCUGGGCUUCCAUUUUGGAGGCUUCUGCAAUGACUUCAGUUUCAGCAUUGACAUAUCCCUUCCAUGGCCACAGACCCCAAGGAGUUGCCCUUCCACCUGCCCAGGUGACAAUAGUGUGUGAUUUCAAAAUUCAUGGUUUCCUAUGGCCCUCACUCAACAAGGAAAGUGUACCCUCUUCUCACCAGAGGUACUUUUCUUUGAUUCCUUCUUUCAGCUUCUCAUACCUUCUGAGCUCAGAUCAAGCUUGAGACAAGUUACCCAGCAUCUAGACUGAAAGGACAUGAGUUUGAGCAAACUCCGGGACAUAGUGAAGGACAAGGAAGCCUGGCAUGCUGCAGUCCAUGUGGUUGCAGAGUUGGACAUGACUUAGCGACUAAAGAACAACAAGAUUGAAAGGAAACAGUAUACUCAUAAAACUACAUCCCAAAUAGUUUAUUCUUGGUAACCAUUGGCUGAGGCUACAUUCUGGCUCUCACUUUGAAGUGGGGGUAAUAUUCAAAAUGCAUACUUAAUGACCAGUUGUCUUGGCACCAUGAUGGAAUGGGUAACUGACUAAUUGUUAGGUCAAACCAGUGCACAUAGGCUGAAUAUCAGAUUGGACAGGAGUUCCAAACAGGCAGGCCUCCGGGCCAUGUUGCCAGUGGAUGAGUUUUAUUAGGUAUGCAGCAUGGUUUUGUAUUGUUUCUGAGCCUUUAGGCCAUUAGAACACAUGUCCUCUUGCAUUUCCAGCCACGAAAUUAAAAGACACUUGUUCCUUGGAAGAUAAGUUAUGACUAACCUAGACAGCAUAUUAAAAAGCAGAGACAUUAUUUU